AGUGAACGCUGGCGGUAGGCCUAACACAUGCAAGUCGAACGGCAGCACAGUAAGAGCUUGCUCUUACGGGUGGCGAGUGGCGGACGGGUGAGGAAUACAUCGGAAUCUACUUUUUCGUGGGGGAUAAUGUAGGGAAACUUAUGCUAAUACCGCAUACGACCUACGGGUGAAAGCAGGGGAUCUUCGGACCUUGCGCGAUUGAAUGAGCCGAUGUCGGAUUAGCUAGUUGGCGGGGUAAAGGCCCACCAAGGCGACGAUCCGUAGCUGGUCUGAGAGGAUGAUCAGCCACACUGGAACUGAGGCACGGUCCAGACUCCUACGGGAGGCGGCAGUGGGGAAUAUUGGACAAUGGGCGCAAGCCUGAUCCAGCCAUACCGCGUGGGUGAAGAAGGCCUUCGGGUUGUAAAGCCCUUUUGUUGGGAAAGAAAAGCAGCAGGUUAAGACCCCGCUGUUCUGACGGUACCCAAAGAAUAAGCACCGGCUAACUUCGU
rnacentral:rRNA from 1 species